CAUUUCCGUGUACCUCUCUCUCUCUCUCUCUCUCUCUCUCUCUCUCUCUCUCUCAAUCCGAAGAAACCCUAGCCUCCCUCUCUCACUGCCGAUCGAAGACAAGAAUCAAGAUGGCCUCCCUUUCCUCCCUCAGUGCCGAUCGAAGAAAAGAAAAAGAUUUGCAGAGGGUCCCAAACUACUAGAUGCUGGUGGCUAUCGGGGAGAUCUAACAAAGGGGGAAAUCCUUCGAUUUCUGUUUGGGGAUGCACAAAUGUUGGGUGCGCUGUCUAGGUUUUCUUCAUCGGUGGCUAUAAGACCAACUCAUGGGGGAGGAAUACUAGGCAAAUCAAUUAAGGCCAAAAGACAGAUCACUCGAAAUUGCUACUUGCUGCUACUUGAAGUUGCUACUUGCUGCUACUUGAAGUUGCUACUUGUUGGAAUUAUUUUUUAAUUCAAAUCUUGUAGUUUUGUAUUUUGUAUUGUAAUAUAAUGUGUAAAUAACAAAAUAAUGUAAUAUGUAAUGGAUUGCAUACAUUUUAGUUUUUCA